rnacentral:rRNA from 1 species
GGCGGCAUGCUUACACAUGCAAGUCGAACGGCAGCACGGGAGCAUCCUGGUGGCGAGUGGCGAACGGGUGAGUAAUAUAUCGGAACGUGCCCAGUCGUGGGGGAUAACGUAGCGAAAGCUACGCUAAUACCGCAUACGAUCUACGGAUGAAAGCGGGGGACUCGCAAGAGCCUCGCGCGAUUGGAGCGGCCGAUAUCAGAUUAGGUUGUUGGUGAGGUAAAAGCUCACCAAGCCUGCGAUCUGUAGCUGGUCUGAGAGGACGACCAGCCACACUGGAACUGAGACACGGUCCAGACUCCUACGGGAGGCAGCAGUGGGGAAUUUUGGACAAUGGACGCAAGUCUGAUCCAGCAAUGCCGCGUGCAGGACGAAGGCCUUCGGGUUGUAAACUGCUUUUGUACGGAACGAAACGGUCUGCUUUAAUACAGUGGGCUAAUGACGGUACCGUAAGAAUAAGCACCGGCUAACUACGUGCCAGCAGCCGCGGUAAUACGUAGGGUGCGAGCGUUAAUCGGAAUUACUGGGCGUAAAGCGUGCGCAGGCGGUUAUAUAAGUCAGAUGUGAAAUCCCCGGGCUCUAACUGGGACCUGCAUUUGAGACUGUAUAGCUAGAGUACGGUAGAGGGGGAUGGAAUUCCGCGUGUAGCAGUGAAAUUGCGUAGAUAUGCGGAGGA